CCUACGGGUGGCAGCAGUGAGGAAUAUUGGUCAAUGGGCGCGAGCCUGAACCAGCCAAGUCGCGUGAGGGAGGACGGCCCUACGGGUUGUAAACCUCUUUUGCCGGGGAGCAACGGGCGCCACGUGUGGCGUCACUGAGAGUACCCGGAGACAAAGCAUCGGCUAACUCCGUGCCAGCAGCCGCGGUAAUACGGAGGAUGCGAGCGUUAUCCGGAGUUAUUGGGUUUAAAGGGUGCGUAGGCGGAUUUUUAAGUCAGCGGUAAAAUGUCCGGGCUCAACCCGGGCCGGCCGUUGAAACUGGGGAUCUUGAGUGGGCGAGAAGUAUGCGGAAUGCGUGGUGUAGCGGUGAAAUGCAUAGAUAUCACGCAGAACUCCGAUUGCGAAGGCAGCAUACCGGCGCCCGACUGACGCUGAGGCACGAAAGCGUGGGGAUCGAACAGGAUUAGAUACCCCAGUAGUC
rnacentral:rRNA from 1 species